GGGUGGACUUGUACAAGCUCACCAAGUGGACAGUCACUGCCUCUGCCCUCCUUCCUUCAGUUCAUGUGUUCUGCCCCCAGACUCUGAGCUUCUCAGGGCAGAUUAGGGAGCAGAGGUCCUGGGGCCUUGAACCUUCAUGGAGUCCCUGGGCCUUGCCCCAGUUGCUUGUCCAGGUGCAGUACUCACAAGGCAACCUUUUAGCAGGGCUGACUCAGAAGGGGCCUUUCUACCUGAGUCACUGACUUCCAGGAGCGCUCAGGCUCUGCCAGCCUCGCCCACCUGCCCAGCAGCUCUUUAGGUCACCCCAGCACAGGCGCCACCUUCCCCAACAAGACUCAACAAGGCUCCCCUGCCGCAGUCUGGUUCUUGAAGGUCUCUGCCCUGGCCAGCAUGUCUGGCAUCCCUGGCCCAUUGCCUGGCCCCGAUGCCUCUCCAGGUGUUGGGCAUCCCACUGCUGAGAGACAUAUCUUUGGCAUCUGGAAGUGUUUCAAGCCUCUAGGAGGCCUAGCUCUGCCGGUGAAUUGCUUUGUGACUAUGGUUGAGUCACACCUCUUCUCUGGGCCCCCUGAUUGAAUGCACGGUCGUCUGGGUGGGGGAGAGGUGAGGGCAUCCGUGGCUCUGCUCUGCCCCUUGCCCCCGAAGGUUGUGAUCAAGUGAGCCCUGUGAGUGGUUAGCCCGGCUGGCACAGCGCCCCAUGAGCCUGGAUGUUCUCAGGAGGGCUGUUGGGCAGGGGGAGGCUGAGUGUAAGGGGGUUUGGGGUCAUCUCCUCCUCCUGCCCCACUUAACUUUGCUUCUUUCUGUGGUGAGCCCCCACGUGUGAUUUGGUGAACGUGUUCUGCCCAUAGCGUUCUGAGAUAGACCCUAUAGGCAGAACACGUUCAGGCAGAAUGACCUCAGGUGUCUGGGUGGGAGGGAGCCACGGGCGAGUCUGAAGGAGGUGUGCAGUGAGCUCUGAAGCAUCUGGGAGGGAAAGAUUAAAUCCACCCGACAGAAACUCAGGGCCUGGGGUCAGGUCAGCCUGGGCCCUAGCAGAGAUCUGGGGCCAGAGCAGCCAUCGAGAGCCCAGCCAGCAACCCUGGGGGUGAGAGGAGCAGGGGAGCCAGAGUGGGAACCCAGGAGAGGUCUGGGUAGGAUGGGUGGUCAGAGGCCUCUUGGCUUGAGGGCAUGUCUGAGGGAAGGGGG
rnacentral:lncRNA from 1 species